UGCUAUCUAAAUACUUCCACGCCGCAGAUCUUCCCAAUGAAAAGCAAACAGAUCUGCCCACUUGCUUCGUGGGGAACGCUGCAAAAGGUUUGGUAAAUUUCCCACUCAAUUUUUGUUUUUGUUUUUUAAACCUAUAGAUUCGGCUUUUACCGGAGGGGCGGUUGCGCAACUGGACUUUCUUUUCCUGUUUCAGCUUGUAUAUAUUACUCUGUUCCUUCCGGCAGCACCUUCGCAAGCAGCAGGUGGGGAGGAUUAUCACUCACAGAAGCUACGGUUAGAUUUCUCCUACUGCCCCCUCCUUCCCGGCCCUGCCUUAUUCAGCGGCUAUUUCUCAUCGCUCACCCCGCCCCCUCCUCUCCCCCUCCCCACGCGGCUCUUCUUUUUGCGUGGAUGCCACUGACGGCGCGCGAGAGAAGAAGCGGCGGCUGCAGGCAAGGAAAUCCCUGUGCGUGAAAAAGCAGCCGCUAUUGCGGACUUCGUCCUUUUGGCGCGGCUGCGGUGUGUAUGUGGGGGGACUGAGCGCAGAAGCCACCGAGUGAAAAAAAAAAAAAAGAGGAGAGUUGAAUCCGUUUCAAGGGAAUCUGCCUUUCCCGCUGCUGCGCUCAGGAUCGCCAUCCCGGCUCCGCCUCCCCUUCUCCUCGGCGAUCUCUCUUCGCAGCCCAGUCUCGGAUGGUGCCCUGAGGGUGGAAGAAAAAAGGGAUCUUACUGGAGAAGAAAAAGAACCCGGAGCAGGUCUAUUCCCCUGCUACCUCCGGACGGAGGAAAAGAGAUUUAUUGGCGGCCGCCGGCCUGACACUAAACUUUUAUUGCAGUGUCUCCAGCCCGCCCCACUCUUGCUCUUGGACCCAGAAAGACUGCAGCGCGCAGAGCGAAGAUCCUUCGCAGGUUGGCGAGGGUGGAAAAGGCGCCAUCUCUUGCUUGGGGCAGACACUGAAGGGCGCUCGGUAGGCGGCGGCGGCGGCGGCACCUCCAAGACUGCGUGGCCCUCCGGGGUCUCGCUCCCGAUCGCUGCUUGAGAGAUUCUCCUGGGUUAAAUCGCUUCUGGGCUGAAUUGUGAUUUGUUUCUUUCUCUCUCUUUCCUUUCCUGGUCCUACUACUCCGGCCGGAGGAGACGCACUUUUACUUCGGCUUGAUGUGCUGCCACGAGGCGGGCGACAUGAGCUUUGCUGACUUUAAAGGGCUUCGCCUUUAAUAAUAAGGAUUGCGCGGCGGGCCCCCAAAGAUGACUAAAUCCCCCACUGGGUGAGCCCAUUUUUGCCCUCUGCCCCCUUCCCUUGUUCUCUUCCCUCCCCCCCUCUCCCUGGAGAAGCCUUUUCUUCCCACUUUGGGGUCCUCACCCCACCUCGUCCCACCCGGGAACUGAUGACAGGCCCACCCGGCUUCUUCCCUUCUGUGCGCCGUAAUAAUUCUAAAAGGCCGGACGAGCUCGGCCUCCAAAUUCUCUCCGAAAGACUGGUUGCUGUGUGGGAAACUGGCGAUUAAAGCGGGAGGAGAGAAGCCCGCCUCCCUUCCGCGCCGGAGCCUGGGAGCUCCCUGUUGGCGGCCGUUUGCCGUCGCCCGGAGUCGAGCUUUUGCGUCUCUUCUUCCUCCCUCGCCUUUCUUGGCCGGUUAUGCAGACUCCCGGCGGCUGCGGCGGCCGCUGCUAGCCCCUGAAGCUGGCUGCUCUGGAGCCGAGCGGUGGAAAUGGUCGCUCCUUGCCAAACGGCGGGGCGAGAGCGCGAGCGAGUGCAGAGGGGGACGUCGAGCUUCUGGGCUGAGCGUGUGCCGCGCGCGUGGGCUCCCGGCUGCUCGGCUCUCCACCGUGGAAGCCCUCCCGUCUCUAGAUGGAAUUAGUGGAGAGCGCAGCCCCUUGUGUAAGGAACAGACAUGAUCCAUGGACGCAGCUUGUUUCACAUUGUAGCAAGUUUUAUCAUCCUACACUGUGCUGGGGCAACAAAAAAAGGAGCAGAAAAGCAAAGCAGUUCAGAAGGACAAAAGACAGUUCAGUGUGGAGUGUGGACAAAAUACACAGAAGGAGGUAUUUUCACUUCCCCGAAUUACCCCAACAAAUAUCCUCCUGACAGAGAAUGUGUCUAUAUUAUAGAAGCUGCCCCAAGACAAUGUAUUGAGUUGCACUUUGAUGAGAAAUAUUCCAUAGAGCCUUCUUGGGAGUGUAAAUUUGAUCAUAUUGAAGUGCGAGAUGGACCUUUUGGAUUUUCUCCAAUAAUUGGCCGUUUCUGUGGACAGCAAAAUCCACCUAAAAUAAAAUCCAGUGGCAGAUUCUUGUGGAUUAAAUUUUUUGCUGAUGGCGAACUUGAAUCUGUAGGAUUUUCUGCACAGUACAAUUUCACACCUGAUCCCGAAUUCAAGGAUCUUGGGGUUUUGAAACCAUUGCCAGUCUGUGAGUUUCAAAUGGGAGGAUCUGAAGGAAUUGUGGAAUCGGUGCAGAUCGGAAAAGAAGGGAAAGCUUCUGAUUCUGAGGCUGUUGAUUGUAAAUGGUACAUCCGAGCACCACCACGAUCCAAGAUAUAUUUACGAUUCUUGGACUAUGAAAUGCAGAAUUCUAAUGAAUGCAAAAGGAACUUUGUGGCUGUCUAUGAUGGAAGUAGCUCAGUGGAGGAUUUAAAAGCAAAGUUUUGCAGUACUGUUGCUAAUGAUGUGAUGCUGCGUACAGGUCUUGGAGUAAUCCGCAUGUGGGCAGAUGAAGGCAGUCGAAAUAGCCGAUUCCAGAUGCUCUUCACAUCUUUCCAAGAACCCCCCUGUGAAGCCAACACAUUUUUUUGCCAUAGUAAUAUGUGUAUUAAUAAUACAUUAGUCUGCAAUGGACUCCAGAACUGUGUAUAUCCAUGGGAUGAAAACCACUGCAAAGAAAAAACAAAAGCCAGCCUGUGGGACCAGCUUACAAAUACCAGUGGGACAAUCAUUGGGGUGACUUCUUGCAUUGUGAUCCUCCUUAUCAUCAUCUCUGUUAUAGUCCAGAUCAAACAGCCUCGUAAAAGAUUUGUCCAGAAGAAAGCAGACUUUGAUCAAACAGUAUUCCAAGAAGUUUUUGAGCCUCCUCAUUAUGAGUUAUGUACUCUCAGAGGGACAGGAACUUCAGUGGACCUUGCAGAUAUUGCAGAUGACUUUGAAAAUUAUCAUAAACUCCGUAGAUCAUCUUCGAAAUGCAUUCAUGACCACCACUGUGGAUCACAGUUAUCUAGCACUAAGGGCAGCCAUAGUAAUCUUAGCACAAGAGAUACACCAAUCUUGACAGAAAUCCAACCCCAGCCUGCAAAGCCCCUUAUCCAGCCUGUGAACAGAAGAAACAUCCUUGUCAUGAAGCAUAGCUACUCACAAGAAGCUGCAGAUGUGUGUGAGAUAGAUGAAAUUGAAGAGGUACCAACCACGAGUCACAGGCUGUCCAGACACGAUAAAGCUGUUCAGCGCCAUAACAUUCCAGGUUCUGCCUCAUUGGGUCUCUAAACAAACAUGAAUCUGAGUACAACACAACUAGGGUGUAAAAGACAACUGAAGAUUGCUUCAGAAUAGUGCAUUCGGGGUGAUUUUGAAUAUACAACAGUGACUUAUGAAAGUAUCAGCUCUGGAACUACAAGCUAGAGAUGUUCUGGACUCCAAUGAACUACUCCGAUUUCGUGGGGAAAAAAACACCAGUCAAUAAUAAGCAAAAUUAAUGAAUGGCAAUAAGACCCUUAUUACUAUCAUUUAUUGUAAUCAUAUUUUUCUUUUAUAUUGUUAUUUAUUUUGUUAUUUGAUUACAAAGAAAAGUUAUCCACUUUCAGGAACAAAUGAUUAAUCAGGUAUUUAUGGAUUCAUAACCACUUCAACAGAAGUAUCAGUUGAAAACAUCUAAUGAUGUGGCAGAAGGUCACGCUGAGAAAUUGAUCUGCAUGUAUGUUGCUGAAUAUUUCAAUCGGCAAAAAAAUGUUUGAGAUUCAUUGUAAAAAGCAUGCAUUCAUACUUACUGCUAUUCCAAUCCAUUUCUUUGUGUCAUAUGCUUGCAAAUUGUAAGUUUUUAUAUAAUGAUACAUAAAACAAUGUAUAAUAAUUUCUUAAACUGAGUUUUGCAGUAGUCUUAUUUACUCUAGCAGUUAAGUAAGGAUUUAUAGUACAUUUGCUGGGUCACAUCUAAAUGAUGAAUCAUUUUUAGUAGCUGAAAUUCUGAAAGUCAUCUAGAACAGGGAUCUCCAAACUUGGCAACUUUAAGACUUGUGGACUUCCAACUCUCAGAAUUCCCCAGUCAGCAUACUAGUCUUAAAAUUGCCAUGUUUGAACACCCUUGAUCUAAGAAGGGAAUGAAGCAAGUAUGAAUAAAUACUGAACUUAUCUUUAAUUUCUCCCAAAAACCCAAGUAAGAUGAGAUUUCUACAGUAUCUUUGUUUGUUCGUUUGUUUGUUAUUUUAAAAAAUAUUGCACACAGUACUUUCUGAUAGAUUACAUUAGGAAUAAUGUGUAAUGUCAAAUACCGUAAGCCUUGUUCCUUAUGAAUUACAGAAUUCUCAUGUCAUUUGCUGAACAUUUCUAUCUCAUUGUCUCAGUGUUGAAAAACAAUUUUUCUAGGACUUUUAUUUAACCAUCCCAAAUGUUGCAUAAGAAGCUCUUUAUUCACUUUACCAAUGUAACAUAUUAUCUGAAAUAUUGAAAGCUCAAAAGCUGAAGUUCACAGAUGUUGAAAUCUCAGAAUCAUUGUGGCUUUGAAGGGUGCACACAGAUGGAUGACAGCUGUCAGAUUCAAAUGAAAACUGAUGGUAAACUGUCAAAUAUUGUAAAUUGCUAAAUGUAGUCCAGUGUUGAAAGUUAUUACAGAUUGAUUGCAAUUAUUUAAUAUUUGUAAUUUUUUAAAGUAAAUUUCUAUUACCUCAAACAGCAUAUUUUUUAAUGUGUACUUUGGAGUAACUACUUUUAUAAACAAAGCAGUUGAGUAAAAAGUGUUUCCCUCAUUGGCCUCAAAGAACAGAAGGCAUUCAAAAUAACUUUAAAAAUAUAUAUUCACAAACAAAUCUCAUGAUAUUCAUUGGCAGUUAAUCUCAAAGACUGUGACACGUGAUUACACUUCCAGUAUAGAGUAAGAGUUAUGCUGGAGGAGGAAAGAAUGGAUAUAUUUGUGUGUAUUUAUGUAAAUUUUAUUAGCAGUAACAUUGACUUAGGUUUUGAAGCUUCUACUGCAAAGAAACCCCUCUUUUAAAUAGUCAAUUUGCUUGCAUUUAAAUUGAAUAUUGCAUAGAUUGGUGAAGUGGGGGGUUAUGGAGUUACUGGAAAUCUUGGAAUAAUACUGAAGUGCACUUUAUAUUUCUGAUGGACUGUGGUGAUCACUAUUCAGUGUUUAAAAUGUAUGGCCUCAUGUAUUACAAGUCUUUGAUGCUAUGUCAUGUCAUGAAAGAUGGCGACAAUGUGAAGAGAAGUUUCCUUGAGUUUGAUUCAAUUAAGCGAAGCUCUCAUUGUAACAAGAACAAACAACAAACUCAUUUCAUCAGUGCUCCUCUAAUUUGCUCUGGCUUCUCAAAAACCAGAGGAACUUUUUAAUCAUUCAGAACAUUGCCAAGGCAAAGCAACAAGAAGACUUUGAGAAAAAGGAGCCAGAUGGGUUAUCCUUUAAUCAAUUAAAGAAAGAGAAAGUCUAUUGUCUCUUGGACUGCUGGAUAGCCUAGUCAAGAAUUUAACUGAAGAUGUUUGUAUGGUAAGUAGUUUCAUCCAUGCUCAUGCAUGUUUGUGCACUUUUUUGUGGUGAGGGCUAACUUGACAAUGAAUGUUUAAAUCCCCGUGGAAUUGUUUACAAAAACUUUGAUUUUAUUUGAGAAAAAAAAAUAAUGCCUCAUGUAACUGUCUGGAGAAAACAUGUUUUCAUUAUGAUGCAUUUACAUGCCAACAGUAUCUCAGAUUAAAAAUACCUUUAUAUAAACAAAAGCCUUCUAUAGUUAACUAGUUGUUGAUCAUUGGUUAAAACUGCAUAAACAGAUGAACCAUCUGUAAAUAUAAGAAGAACCUCUUCUUUGUUAUCAGUUAGGAUAAUAUUAAAGCAGCCAGCCACGUGGUCCUGUGGGAUGGUAUCUCACACAGAUCAAAUUUUUCUACAUCCAUCUUCUGAGUUUUCUGCUUCUCAUUUCCAUAGAACUUUCGACGACUUCUGGAAGCUGCUGUUACCAUACCUUUUGGUUUAACUAAACUUGCCCUGGUUUGGCCCUUGACUUCCAGCCUUGGCUGGAAGUAGAACCAUACUGACCUGCAGUGGAGAAUUGUGGCUAUAGACUUAGGUUACAAUUUACUGUUUGCACAGGCAGAGGGUGGGAAAGUGGAUUGAAAUGCCAACUUGCAGUCUGGCCAUUGCAAUUCCACAUGCAAAGAUGUCUGUAUAGAAGCAGUGGUUUAGUUGUCUCUCAGAACUGACUGCUCUUCUGUAUAGUUGAGCCGUGGCACAGUGGUUUGAAUGCAGUAUUGCAGGCUAUUUCUGCCAACUGCCAGGAGUUUGAUUCUCACUGGCUCCACCUUCCAUCCUUCCGAGGUGGAUAAAACGAGGACCCAGAUUGUUGGGGACAAUAUGCUGACUCUGAAAACUGCUUAGAGAGGGAUGCAAAGCACUGUGAAGUGGUAUAUUAUUGCUAUUGCUUGGAAAAUGGAGAAUGGUUAUAAUGUUUGAUAUUACAAAGUAUUUUAAGUUUUGUCUAAGCAUGCUGUUGUUUUUCAGCAGCAGUUUUAAUUUUGUUUUGCUAUAAUAUCCAACUGUCUGACUUUGCCAUUACCAGAUUCAUAAAGACUUAUGUAUUUAAGAGUCAGGAAAUUAAUGAAACUAAAAAUAAUUAUUUUUAUUGAUAUUAUCCAGGCAUGAUAUUAUCCAGGCAUAUUGGCUUAGCUUAAAUAUUAAUCAUAGCCAAAUCCAGUUUAAAGAUAAAUUUCGACUGUACAACCAAUCAGGCUGAUGUAAAUACUUUUGUGAUAGAUGCCUGUUUGUUACAUGCUACAGUGACUUCAUUCUUCCCUAUAUGACAAAUGUUUAUUGGUGGUUUUCUCAUGCAUUUUAUACUGUUUCAAGGGAAGAACAAAUUAGACUUUUAUACUUACCGUAUUUGUGUGUUAUAUUCUAUCUCAUUUUUCAGUCAGUAUGAAUUUUUUAAAGGGCUCACAAAAAAUGUAUAUAUUCUGCACAUAAAUUCUUUUAAUAUUUACUUUUUAAAAAAAAAUACUCUAAGGUUUCUCCCAAUGAAUAUCACAGCAAUUGAUAGGUAAAAAGUAAAGGACAAUUAAAUUUCAGGUUUUGUAUUAACUUGUGCAAUUAUGCUUGGUCAUGUGAAAAUGAAAACUAAAGAAACUUUUCCCAUUAUUUAUUUACUUUUAUGUUUCAAUAUAAUAUACAUAUGUUGACUUGGCAUAAGAACCAGUGGCAUAAUUACGGCAUUGCAAGCCAUGAAGACGUAAGAGUAUUUGUUGCAUACUCUUCAUUGCAAAACUUUAUACAACCUAUAAUGUGCAAUGCUUUGUCCUCAGUGCUGAUGCUACAUAUGCCAAUUCUCAUGGAUUAUGAACUCAUUUGUUGGUUGGUCCACAAGUUGUCACAAGGAUCCAGAAGAAUUCAAGGAAAAACUGACAUCAUAACUGUGAACUAUAAAUACGAUAAGCUUUCCAGAAGCUUUUUUUUUUUUUUUUGCCAUUUAAAUAUUCACUUGCAAAAAUUCAGGGCUGUUCUUUUUUGGGUUCACGUAUCUGUUACUUUUCUGUACGCCAUGCCUUAUUUCUUGAAAUGCAAUUACCACAAGUAUCUAUGGAUAUUCUCAAUCAUCUAGGUCAUGCUUUUUCCAAGAGUCAAUAUUCUCAUGAACUAAAGAAGCUUCUUGGAUGAAAAGCAAAAUGUUUUCAAAGAAAAAAACCAAGAAAGUCCAGUUGCCUUUUGCAAAAAGCACCAAUUACAGCUGUAACUCCUUGUUCUCACAUUUUCAACAAGGAACAUUUAUUUUUGGAUCUUCUCAAAUUAUCUUCUCAUUAAGAAUAAGAUGAGAUAUAAACCUAACAAAUAAGAAAGUCAUAGUUCUGAUGGUUGAAUAGAACACACCAAGUUCUUGGAUAACCUGUAUGAUAGUGCUGCAACAGAAUUCCUUACUGAUUUUGUUCAAUAAUAUUCAAAGGAAGCUGAAGAACCUUCUUGGAUGAGAAGCAAAACAUCUUCUCAAAAAAAUCAAAGUCCAGUUGCCUCUUGAAAAAAGCACCUUUGGGACAAUCAUUACUUGGAUGACUGAGAAUCACCAUAGAUGAUCAAAGGAAGUAUGUUGUCAUAAGAAAAGCCCACUCCUUAAUAAAAUGGUAUAGAUUUCUGCAUUAUAAUCCCUUGACAUUACUAGAUAGUAGGAAACGAAUCCUGCACGGUCCACAUAUGAAGGUAGCACUUAAAAUGAAAACAUACUAAAAUUGUAAAAGAACAAACCAGACUUUGGACACCAGUGCAGUGUCUGUAUAGCUCCCCUGAAAUAGAAAAACCUGUCAGUCAGGCUAGAAGUACUUUGGGCUAAGUACUUUCCCUAUUUGUUCACCCCACAAUUAGAACAGUAUUGGCUAUUAACAGGUAUUUUCAGGAAGAGUUAUUCUAGAGCAGGGGUGUCAAAUUUGCGUCGUCAUGGCAGUGUCACAUGACGUAUUGGGAUUUAUCCCCCCUUCGCUAAACCAGGCAGGGCCAGCACGUGAUGUAAUUAGCCCAAGGGUCAUAAGUUUGACACCCCUGUUCUAGAGAGACCAUCUUUUAUUCCUGAGCUAUGUGGUACCAUCUGCAAAUUUGCCUUCGUAUGGCAAUAAAGCAUUUUUCAUUGGCUGGAUAUACAUGGAUAUCCAGCCCCACAUGGAUGGAUUUUUUUCCAUUUUAUAUAAGAGCACCCAGCUGUUUCCUACAGGUAAUCUACAAUUUACAACUGGUUGUUUAGUAACCAUUUGAAAUAACGCCAGAGUUUUCAAAGCUCACUCCCUGCAGUGAUGUGAUUAAAUUUUGGGCACCUGGCCACUGGAUCAUAUUUAUGACUAGUUGCAAAGUUCUGUGGUCAUGUGACCAUGAUAUGCAACUUUCUUUUUGCUAUUUACUGGCAGAAAAUAGGGGGGGGGAGAAACCCCAUUGGAUAUGCUGGAUUCAGUUAAUGAUCAUGUGACUUGUUUAAUGACCACAAUGACUUACUUUACAACCAUCACAAAACAGUAAAAAAAGUUUAGUCACAUGAUUAGGGUUGCAAGCACAAUGACUUGGGACCAAAAUUGGUCAUAUUUUGGACCAAUUGGUCAAAAGUGAAGGGUAUGCUUUUAUGAUUACUGGUGUUACAUUCUAAAUAUUUUGAAAUAGUUUUCAAGGUUUGGUAAUAAGAAAAAUAAGAGCUAUAAUAUAUUUGACAAUAUUUGCUACCAAGGUAAGUUUUCCUGAUAAUCCAUAAACUUCAGAGAGGACACUGCAGUCAAGUGGCAUUACCUUGUAUUCACCAUCUAUAUGGAAACUCCAUGUGUAUGUUUUGUUCAAGAAAUUUUUUUGUGUAUAUCUUUUGGUACUGAUUGUUCAUUUUGUUGUUCAUGUUGAUAUAUCUUUCAGUUCUGAUUAGUUUUUGAAAUUCAAGCCCAACAAAUUUUAAAACAUCCUUUUUUCUCCUAUCCAUCUUCCUUCUAAAUUCUAAUUCAGAUUCUUUAAGCAACCUGUUUGUUUUCCUAAUUUUGCAUUUUACAAAGUAAAUAUAUUUAUCCAC